UAGAGUUUGAUCCUGGCUCAGGAUGAACGCUGGCGGCGUGCUUAACACAUGCAAGUCGAACGAUGAAGCCCAGCUUGCUGGGUGGAUUAGUGGCGAACGGGUGAGUAACACGUGAGCAACCUGCCCCUGACUCUGGGAUAAGCGCUGGAAACGGCGUCUAAUACUGGAUACGAACAAGAAUCGCAUGGUUACUUGUUGGAAAGAUUUUUCGGUUGGGGAUGGGCUCGCGGCCUAUCAGCUUGUUGGUGAGGUAAUGGCUCACCAAGGCGUCGACGGGUAGCCGGCCUGAGAGGGUGACCGGCCACACUGGGACUGAGACACGGCCCAGACUCCUACGGGAGGCAGCAGUGGGGAAUAUUGCACAAUGGGCGCAAGCCUGAUGCAGCAACGCCGCGUGAGGGAUGACGGCCUUCGGGUUGUAAACCUCUUUUAGCAGGGAAGAAGCGAGAGUGACGGUACCUGCAGAAAAAGCACCGGCUAACUACGUGCCAGCAGCCGCGGUAAUACGUAGGGUGCAAGCGUUAUCCGGAAUUAUUGGGCGUAAAGAGCUCGUAGGCGGUUUGUCGCGUCUGCUGUGAAAUCUGGGGGCUCAACCCCCAGCCUGCAGUGGGUACGGGCAGACUAGAGUGCGGUAGGGGAGAUUGGAAUUCCUGGUGUAGCGGUGGAAUGCGCAGAUAUCAGGAGGAACACCGAUGGCGAAGGCAGAUCUCUGGGCCGUAACUGACGCUGAGGAGCGAAAGGGUGGGGAGCAAACAGGCUUAGAUACCCUGGUAGUCCACCCCGUAAACGUUGGGAACUAGUUGUGGGGUCCAUUCCACGGAUUCCGUGACGCAGCUAACGCAUUAAGUUCCCCGCCUGGGGAGUACGGCCGCAAGGCUAAAACUCAAAGGAAUUGACGGGGACCCGCACAAGCGGCGGAGCAUGCGGAUUAAUUCGAUGCAACGCGAAGAACCUUACCAAGGCUUGACAUAUACGAGAACGGGCCAGAAAUGGUCAACUCUUUGGACACUCGUAAACAGGUGGUGCAUGGUUGUCGUCAGCUCGUGUCGUGAGAUGUUGGGUUAAGUCCCGCAACGAGCGCAACCCUCGUUCUAUGUUGCCAGCACGUAAUGGUGGGAACUCAUGGGAUACUGCCGGGGUCAACUCGGAGGAAGGUGGGGAUGACGUCAAAUCAUCAUGCCCCUUAUGUCUUGGGCUUCACGCAUGCUACAAUGGCCGGUACAAUGGGCUGCAAUACCGUGAGGUGGAGCGAAUCCCAAAAAGCCGGUCCCAGUUCGGAUUGAGGUCUGCAACUCGACCUCAUGAAGUCGGAGUCGCUAGUAAUCGCAGAUCAGCAACGCUGCGGUGAAUACGUUCCCGGGUCUUGUACACACCGCCCGUCAAGUCAUGAAAGUCGGUAACACCUGAAGCCGGUGGCCUAACCCCUCGGGGAGGGAGCUGUCGAAGGUGGGAUCGGUAAUUAGGACUAAGUCGUAACAAGGUAACC
rnacentral:rRNA from 1 species